GAUGAACGCUGGCGGCGUGCCUAAUACAUGCAAGUAGAGCGAACGGACGAGAAGCUUGCUUCUCUGAUGUUAGCGGCGGACGGGUGAGUAACACGUGGAUAACCUACCUAUAAGACUGGGAUAACUUCGGGAAACCGGAGCUAAUACCGGAUAAUAUUUUGAACCGCAUGGUUCAAAAGUGAAAGACGGUCUUGCUGUCACUUAUAGAUGGAUCCGCGCUGCAUUAGCUAGUUGGUAAGGUAACGGCUUACCAAGGCAACGAUGCAUAGCCGACCUGAGAGGGUGAUCGGCCACACUGGAACUGAGACACGGUCCAGACUCCUACGGGAGGCAGCAGUAGGGAAUCUUCCGCAAUGGGCGAAAGCCUGACGGAGCAACGCCGCGUGAGUGAUGAAGGUCUUCGGAUCGUAAAACUCUGUUAUUAGGGAAGAACAUAUGUGUAAGUAACUGUGCACAUCUUGACGGUACCUAAUCAGAAAGCCACGGCUAACUACGU
rnacentral:rRNA from 1 species